AAGUCGUAACAAGGUUUCCGUAGGUGAACCUGCGGAAGGAUCAUUAUUGAAUGAACUUGGUCGGGCUGAUGCUGGUCUCUCCUUGGAGGGGCAUGUGCACGCCUGGCACCAUCUUCUUUUACCACCUGUGCACCUUUUGUAGACUGUGGGGACUACCUUUCCGAGGUCAAACUCGGUUGAAAGGAUUGCUGAUGCCAGCUUUCCUUUGCCUGUCUUCUUGUCUAUGCCUUUUUUUUUUUAUCACAAAUGUAUGACAAUGAAUGUUAUGUUGGGCAUUAUUGCCUUUAAAAACCUAAUACAACUUUCAACAACGGAUCUCUUGGCUCUCGCAUCGAUGAAGAACGCAGCGAAAUGCGAUAAGUAAUGUGAAUUGCAGAAUUCAGUGAAUCAUCGAAUCUUUGAACGCACCUUGCGCUCCUUGGUAUUCCGAGGAGCAUGCCUGUUUGAGUAUCAUGAAAUUCUCAACCUUGCUUUUGCAUCUGUGAAAUCAAGGUUGGAUUGUGGGGGACUUUUUUGCAGGCUUCAAAUCGAAGUCUGCUCUCCUGAAAUAUAUUAGCAGAGUUGCAUGAACAGCUUUUUAUUGGUGUGAUAAUCAUCUAUGCCAUGGGCUGUGAAAGCGAGUUUGCCUUCCAAUUUUAACAUCCGUUAUUCAUGACUUUUUGAUCUCAAAUCAGGUAGGACUACCCGCUGAACUUAAGCAUAUCAAUAAGCGGAGGAAAAGAAACUAACAAGGAUUCCCCUAGUAACUGCGAGUGAAGCGGGAAGAGCUCAAAUUUAAAAUCUGGCAAUCCUUGUGGUUGUCCGAGUUGUAAUCUAGAGAA
rnacentral:misc_RNA from 1 species